AAUUUUUUAUGGUUUUGAAAAUUUAUUUUAAAUUUAUUUUACAUAUAAAUUUUAGUGUUAGUUAUUAAUUAUUUAAAUAAUAUUUAAUUUUUUGGUAGUAAUUAAUUUUAAAUAUUUAAGAAAUUAAGAUUUAGUAAUAUAAAAAUUAAUAACUAAUUUUGUGCCAGCAGUUGCGGUUAUACAAAAGUUAAUUUAAAUUUUUUUAGUAAUUAAUAAAUAAUUAAAUUGAUAAUAAUUUAAAAUUUAAAUUAUAAAGUGAAAUUUUAAUUUAAUAAAAAAUUUUUUUAAUUAUGAUUUAAUAAAUUUUAUAAAAAACUAGGAUUAGAUACCCUAUUAUUAAAAAUUUAAAUUGAUAAUACUAAAAUAGUAAAUGAUUAUUUAUUGAAACUUAAAUAAUUUGGCGGCAUUUUAGUUCAUUUAGAGGAAUCUGUUUAAUAAUUGAUAGUCCACGAAUAAAUUUACUUAAUUUAUUAUUUUGUAUAUCGUUGUUAUAAAAAUAUUUUUUAAUAAAAAUAAUAUUUAAAAAUUAAUAUUUAAAAUUAAAUCAGAUCAAGAUGCAGGUUAUAAUUAAGAAUAUAAUGGAUUACAAUAAAUUUAUUUAAUUGAAUUUUAAUAUGAAAUUAUUAAUUGAAAUUGGAUUUAAAUGUAAUUUUUUUUAAAUUAAAAAAAUGAUUUUAUAUUAAAAUGUGUACAUAUUGCCCGUCGCUUUCAUUUAUAAAUUGAAAUAAGUCGUAACAAAGUAGAAGUACUGGAAAGUGUUUCUAGAAAGAU
rnacentral:ncRNA from 1 species